CUGGUAUUUCUUCAGUCUUCACUCUUCCGAAAGGUUGGAAAGACGAUUGGCUGCUGACACAUUUAUAGGAUGUGGGCUGCAGAGUGCUGCUAGCUCCUUGCCUGCUAACACUGAGUGGUAGAGCCAGGAGCUAGUGACUGACACCUACAUGCAUGAUCAAGUGUCUGUAAUUUUAGUUUUGAACAAAAAGGCGAGUGAGCGCAGGAUUUCAUAUAUUUCCUUUUGCUCAACAGAGCAGUUAGGCUUUUAUUCUUUCUUUAUUCUUUGUGUUGAUCCAUAUUAGUUGUUACCACAGCAACAACUAUUCUGCCUGUUGUCCAGAGAUAGGCUUUGGUGGGUCAACUAGUUUUCACCUUGGCUUUGUUUUUUGUUUGUUUGAAUAACCACCAUCCACCCUAGAGUCCUAUUUUUGUUUUUGUUUUUUUACGUGGAAUCCAUUUUUUCUUGGUGGCCAGGCCUUAGUCCAUGAAGCCCGGCUGGGCACAGCCCGAAAAAGGGACAGGAGCCCAUCUCCCUGCAUGCCCACCACCCACAGGAGGCACCGUAGGGGUCGGGUGCAAUGUGAGUCGGGCGGCGGCCAGGAGCAGAGACCCUGGCAGACCGAUCCCUGGCUACCAAGACUGGCAAUUGGGACAUGGAAUGUCACCUCUCUGGUGAGGAAGGAGCCUGUGCUACUGCGUGAGGUUGAGAGGUACCGGCUAGAUAUAGUCGGGCUCAUCUCAACGCAUGGCUUGGGCUCUGGAACCAGUCUCCUGAAGAGGAGCUGGACUCUGUCUCAAUCUGGAGUUGCCCCUGGUGAGAGGCGUCGGGCUGGGGUGGGUAUCUUGGUAUCCGCUCGGCUUGCUGCUGGUAUGUUGGGGUUUCUCCCAGUGGAGGGUUUGUUCCCUUCGCCUUCGGGUCAGGGAACGGGUCCUGACUGUUGUCUAUGCUUAUGCGCCGAGGGGCAGUUCAGAGUACUCGGCCUUCUUGGAGUCCCUGGGUGGAGCACUUGAGGGUGCUCCUCCUGGGGACUCUGUUGUCCUACUGGGAGACUUCAACGCUCACGUGGGCAAUGACAGUGAGACCUGGAAGGGCAUGAUUGGGAGGAACGGCCUCCCGGAUCUGAUCCCGAGCUGUGUUUUGUUAUUGGACUUCUGUGCAAACCACAGUUUGGCC
ensembl:lncRNA